UGUUGGUGUGCGGGUCGAAGCACUCCAUGGACCUCAGGCAGGAGCUGCCGUCCCGGCCCCCCACCGAGUAGAGCCUGGGGGGGGUUCGACAGCGGAUUCACACAUGAGUGGUUGAGACCUUGACAGCCUCCAUCAAACAGCGCUUCGUGCGAUGUCCGACCUGUGGAGGCAGGAGCGGCAGGCGGAUGUAGGCGAGGAGCACCCCGAGGUCCUGCUGGCGUCGCUGGACGUCAUAGCGCACCCACAUCAUCAGCGCCUGGAAGAUGGUUUCCUCGUCUGGAACGUUGAUGUCGUCGCUGGAGAGCAGCUUCACGAUCUCCGCCGUGGGGAGGAGCAGGAACUCCUGGUUCUGAAUGACCUCCAGGAAGUGUUCCUGGAACACGGGGGAGACGGGGAAGGCAGAUAAUCAUCAGUCAUUAGCCCGGGAGUGGGCGCGUGUGCGCGUCUGUGUGCGUCUACACCUACGAGGACCGCAGGGACAAGGACAGAGAGGGGGAGGAGGCGGCUGAGGCUGCGCCUGCUGAUCCUAGAGCUGCGUUACAGGAGCACGGCGUCAUCUGUUACGUUUAGCUCCGCAAAUAAAAUGAUCCACACAACAGCAGGUUACAAAUCACUCUGGCAUGAAACAUCUCCGAAAAAUUGCCUUCAUGAGCUUAUAAAGCAUUUUUGCUGCUGAUCGUAUAUGGCACCAUUAAGCCUUUAUAAGCCACUUAAUGAGAAAGAGAGAGGCGCCGCACGCCAGCGUUACAACCGCGCCAUCACAGCGUCCAGCUGCGACUUUUGUGGAUUCUGGGCUCCAGCGUCUUGCUGAAGAUUGAUCUCCCGUUUACUGGCCAGGAGCCCAGGUGAUAUUAGGGCACUGCAUGGCUACCUCCUCAAGGACGUUGUCUCCGGGCAGCUCCAUUAGAGAUAAUGCUGUAUAACACAGCCUCUCUCACCCAAGUCGCCGCGCUGCGCAAUACAGUAAAACGCAUGGAGAACGCGCUGUGUGGUACGAAACCACAAAACACAGAUCGUGUCUUUUUGGAUGUGAAGCGUCUCCUCAAAAGUUGCAAAUUGAACCAUGGAUCAUCAGCUCGCAACAGUGUCUCAGCCCGAUCUAUUCUAAGGGCAGGUUUUAAGAGCUUAACACGGCCAGCCUUAAUUAAAUGAGGGGCCUCCAUCGAUCUGUUGUUGUACCGUCGAGGGAAACGACUGCUUACUUUAGGCCGGGCGUCUGCAACGAGCACUUUCCAAACAGCUGACGACAAAACCGACGGCUUAACGGAGUUUUCCUUCAUUCCUGUUUAAAAAGAUCUGAUUCCAGAGGCUCAGGAAGUCAAUCGAGAUCAUCUCGAGAGGAUACUAAUUGAUUUAACUACUGCAAAAGUGUAAUAACAGUGUUUUCUGAGGAGGAGGAGGAGCGCUGACGCCUAAUUGGAGUGAGGCUGAGAGAAUUAUCCUUCAGGAACAUCAUUUGCAGAAGCUGAGGCAGCGCGGACGGCUGAUUUCCACUGUGUUUAAUAAAAUAUGUAAUGCGAAUAUAAUUUUAUUGCUGAAAAACAAAACACUGUGCUGCCAAAAAAAACGAAACUUGACAUGUUUAUCUGCCGAGACGUGCAAAGGGCAACGGUUUCAUCAAGGAAGAGGAUGUCGGAGGCGGCGCUCGCCUGCCACUCGCAACCAGGACAAACAAGCUUAUCACAACGCAACUCGCUCCACUCGCAGCCCAGAGGAGAGACUUCCAGGAAGCCCACAGCUCCCCCUGCUCAUUACUGGAGCGAUUGAACAGGAAGUUGGCCCUCUCGUGCAGCUCGGUGAUUAGAUUAACCCCCCGAUCCUGCAGCGGGCCCACGUAGACAGGCCGAGCAGAUGUCCUGCAGGAGAUAACGGCCACCUCGCGCUGUCAGUGCUGCGCGGCCACCGGAUGCACUGAUGUGUGCGGGCGCGGAUCCCGCUCCAAUAGGUGGAAAUUCCAUUUUCAUAAGUCUGCCCGCGUACCAAUUAACAUGAAGCGACGCGGUAUCGCCGGCCGACAGUCCCACAGUCAAAGAGAUAACGUGGAAGCAUGAAACAAUGCAAUUUCUAUUCAAAUGUGCAAACCUGACUUCUCCCUGCUGAAAUUAGAUGAAUAACCAAGACGCCAACUGCUCAUUCCUUUAUGACAGGUUAUGAACACACAUCUGAUUCCUAUGGAAAGUAUAGGUAACCAUGGCGAUAGUGGAUUCACGGCUGUCAUUACGCAGACUACAGGUGAGUAAUUCACAUUCAAGUGCCUUUAGAAUAUAACUUUUUAUUUCAGGGACUGAAAGACUGUUCCACCACUUCUCUGCUUUGUCUUGGGCUGAUGUCAAGCGGACAAACACACACACACACACACAUACCAUUGUGUAGUUAUGAGCCACGUUGAGCAGGUCCACGCAGCCCUGCGCAUCUGCAAACGAGCGUAUUCCCAGGCAGUUGGAGGGAUGGAGCUGUUUCAUUAGGAAGUUGCAGCAAACCUGGAUGACCUGUGGGAGCUGCAGGAGACAAGCCGCCGCCAGUAGGCUCUCAAUGGUCUCCUCCUUCAGCUCAAGGACACCUGCAAUGUCAGGACAGGCAAAACGCCAUAUGACGUGAUCAAGCGUGGCCGCCACAGGCAAAACACGGCGUGAGAGGGAAUCAGGCAGCAACACUUAUUACAGCGCAUCGUACCUUCUGGCAGAUACUGAAGAAACAUCUUUAUUCAUAUUUUAUCAAAGCCCAGUUUGCUUCGCGAGAUAACACGAUUGUGUGCUGCGAUCCAGUCCGGCCAGUUGAGCCGGUGAUGAAUUGCCUUCAUUGAUCCAUUUUAAUCACGUUGGAUUUCAGAUGUCCCAUAACUGCUUACAGGGGCCAGUGAACGUCUUUAUGAGCACUCACCGGU